UGGGGAAUAUUGGACAAUGGGCGAAAGCCUGAUCCAGCAAUGCCGCGUGUGUGAAGAAGGCCUGCGGGUUGUAAAGCACUUUUAUCAGGAAAGAAACAGCCUGGGGAUAAUACCUCCAGGCCUUGACGGUACCUGAGGAAUAAGCACCGACUAACUCCGUGCCAGCAGCCGCGGUAAUACGGAGGGUGCAAGCGUUAAUCGGAAUUACUGGGCGUAAAGCGAGUGUAGGCGGCUACGUAAGUCGGUUGUGAAAUCCCCGGGCUUAACCUGGGAAUUGCGAUCGAUACUGCGUGGCUAGAGUCUGAUAGAGGGAAGUGGAAUUCCAGGUGUAGCGGUGAAAUGCGUAGAUAUCUGGAGGAACAUCAGUGGCGAAGGCGGCUUCCUGGAUCAAGACUGACGCUCAGGCUCGAAAGCGUGGGUAGCAA
rnacentral:rRNA from 1 species